UACGGGGGGAGCAAGCGUUGUUCGGAUUUACUGGGCGUAAAGGGCGCGUAGGCGGCCACCGCAAGUCAAUUGUGAAAUCUCCGGGCUUAACUCGGAAAGGUCAACUGAUACUGCGGGGCUAGAGUGCGGAAGGGGCAACUGGAAUUCUCGGUGUAGCGGUGAAAUGCGUAGAUAUCGAGAGGAACACCUGCGGCGAAGGCGGGUUGCUGGGCUGAUACUGACGCUGAGGCGCGAAAGCCAGGGGAGCGAACGGG
rnacentral:rRNA from 1 species